AUGCACGCUGGCGGCGUGCCUAAUCCAUGCAAGUCGCGCGAACAGACGAGGAGCUUGCUCCUCUGACGUUAGCGGCGGACGGGUGAGUAACACGUGGAUAACCUACCUAUAAGACUGGGAUAACUUCGGGAAACCGGAGCUAAUACCGGAUAAUAUAUUGAACCACAUGGUUCAAUAGUGAAAGACGGUUUUGCUGUCACUUAUAGAUGGAUCCGCGCCGCAUUAGCUAGUUGGUAAGGUAACGGCUUACCAAGGCAACGAUGCGUAGCCGACCUGAGAGGGUGAUCGGCCACACUGGAACUGAGACACGGUCCAGACUCCUACGGGAGGCAGCAGUAGGGAAUCUUCCGCAAUGGGCGAAAGCCUGACGGAGCAACGCCGCGUGAGUGAUGAAGGUCUUCGGAUCGUAAAACUCUGUUAUUAGGGAAGAACAAAUGUGUAAGUAACUAUGCACGUCUUGACGGUACCUAAUCAGAAAGCCACGGCUAACUACGUG
rnacentral:rRNA from 1 species